AUUGAACGCUGGCGGCAGGCUUAACACAUGCAAGUCGAACGAACGGCGGACGGGUGAGUAAGGUCUGGGAAACUGCCUGAUGGAGGCGGAUAACGACUGGAAACGGUAGCUAAUACCGCAUACGAUCAGAUGUGCCCAGAUGGGAUUAGCUAGUGGGUGGGGUAAUGGCUCACCUAGGCGACGAUGCCUAGCUGGUCUGAGAGGAUGACCAGCCACACUGGGACUGAGACACGGUCCAGACUCCUACGGGAGGCAGCAGUGGGGAAUAUUGGACAAUGGGCGCAAGCCUGAUGGAGCCAUGCCGCGUGGGUGAAGAAGGCCUUCGGGUUGUAAAGCACUUUCAGCGAGGAGGCGUUACUCGCCCAAGAAGCACCGGCUAACUCCGUGCCAGCAGCCGCGGUAAUUC
rnacentral:rRNA from 1 species